rnacentral:rRNA from 1 species
GAUGAACGCUGGCGGCGUGCCUAAUACAUGCAAGUCGAGCGAACAGAUAAGGAGCUUGCUCCUUUGACGUUAGCGGCGGACGGGUGAGUAACACGUGGGUAACCUACCUAUAAGACUGGAAUAACUCCGGGAAACCGGGGCUAAUGCAGGAUAACAUGUUGAACCGCAUGGUUCUACAGUGAAAGGCGGCUUUGCUGUCACUUAUAGAUGGACCCGCGCCGUAUUAGCUAGUUGGUGAGGUAACGGCUCACCAAGGCAACGAUACGUAGCCGACCUGAGAGGGUGAUCGGCCACACUGGAACUGAGACACGGUCCAGACUCCUACGGGAGGCAGCAGUAGGGAAUCUUCCGCAAUGGGCGAAAGCCUGACGGAGCAACGCCGCGUGAGUGAUGAAGGUCUUCGGAUCGUAAAACUCUGUUAUUAGGGAAGAACAAAUGCGUAAGUAACUGUGCGCGUCCUGACGGUACCUAAUCAGAAAGCCACGGCUAACUACGUG